GACGGAGGGUGCAAGCGUUGCUCGGAAUCACUGGGCGUAAAGGGUGCGUAGGCGGUCUCGCAAGUCUGGCGUGAAAGCCCAAGGCUCAGCCUUGGAAGUGCGCUCGAAACUGCGAGGCUGGAGUGCCGGAGGGGAGAGUGGAAUUCCCGGUGUAGCGGUGAAAUGCGUAGAGAUCGGGAGGAACACCGAUGGCGAAGGCAGGUCUCUGGGCCAUAACUGACGCUGAGAAGCGAAAGCAUGGGGAGCGAACAGG
rnacentral:rRNA from 1 species